CCUACGGGAGGCAGCAGUAAGGAAUAUUGGUCAAUGGACGCAAGUCUGAACCAGCCAUGCCGCGUGAAGGAUUAAGGUCCUCUGGAUUGUAAACUUCUUUUAUAUGGGACGAAAACAGAUCUUUCUAGGUCCUUUGACGGUACCAUAUGAAUAAGCACCGGCUAACUCCGUGCCAGCAGCCGCGGUAAUACGGAGGGUGCAAGCGUUAUCCGGAUUCACUGGGUUUAAAGGGUGCGUAGGCGGGUAGGUAAGUCAGUGGUGAAAUCCUGGAGCUCAACUCCAGAACUGCCAUUGAUACUAUCUAUCUUGAAUAUUGUGGAGGUAAGCGGAAUAUGUCAUGUAGCGGUGAAAUGCUUAGAUAUGACAUAGAACACCCAUUGCGAAGGCAGCUUACUACGCAUAUAUUGACGCUGAGGCACGAAAGCGUGGGGGAUCAAACAGGAUUAGAUACCCUGGUAGUCCACGCCCUAAACGAUGGAUACUCGACAUACGCGAUACACAGUGUGUGUNUGAGNGAAGACAUAAGUAUCCACCCGACGGUAGUACGUUCGUCGAGAAGUAGAACGUUAAAGUAGUAAGUUAGUUACGGCGUUGAGACGAGCCGACGGACGACGACGAGGGAGGUUAGGGAG
rnacentral:rRNA from 1 species